rnacentral:rRNA from 1 species
AUUGAACGCUGGCGGCAGGCCUAACACAUGCAAGUCGAACGGUAACAGGAAGCAGCUUGCUGCUUUGCUGACGAGUGGCGGACGGGUGAGUAAUGUCUGGGAAACUGCCUGAUGGAGGGGGAUAACUACUGGAAACGGUAGCUAAGUACCGCAUAAACGUCGCAAGACCAAAGAGGGGGACCUUAGGGCCUCUUGCCAUCGGAUGUGCCCAGAUGGGAUUAGCUAGUAGGUGGGGUAACGGCUCACCUAGGCGACGAUCCCUAGCCGACCUGAGAGGGUGAUCGGCCACACUGGGACUGAGACACGGCCCAG